UCCGGAGGGGGCAAGCGUUGUCCGGAUUUACUGGGCGUAAAGCGCGCGCAGGCGGUCUCUUAAGUCUGAUGUGAAAGCCCCCGGCUCAACCGUGGAAGGUCAUUGGAAACUGGGAGACUUGAGUGUAGGAGAGGAAAGAGGAAUUCCCCGUGUAGCGGUGAAAUGCGUAGAGGUGUGGAGGAACACCAGUGGCGAAGGCGACUUUCUGGCCUAUAACUGACGCUGAGGCGCGAAAGCGUGGGGAGAAAACAGG
rnacentral:rRNA from 1 species